UCGAACGGCAGCACGGAGCUUGCUCUGGUGGCGAGUGGCGAACGGGUGAGUAAUAUAUCGGAACGUACCCUGGAGUGGGGGAUAACGUAGCGAAAGUUACGCUAAUACCGCAUACGAUCUACGGAUGAAAGUGGGGGAUCGCAAGACCUCAUGCUCGUGGAGCGGCCGAUAUCUGAUUAGCUAGUUGGUAGGGUAAAAGCCUACCAAGGCAUCGAUCAGUAGCUGGUCUGAGAGGACGACCAGCCACACUGGAACUGAGACACGGUCCAGACUCCUACGGGAGGCAGCAGUGGGGAAUUUUGGACAAUGGGCGAAAGCCUGAUCCAGCAAUGCCGCGUGAGUGAAGAAGGCCUUCGGGUUGUAAAGCUCUUUUGUCAGGGAAGAAACGGUGAGAGCUAAUAUCUCUUGCUAAUGACGGUACCUGAAGAAUAAGCACCGGCUAACUACGUGCCAGCAGCCGCGGUAAUACGUAGGGUGCAAGCGUUAAUCGGAAUUACUGGGCGUAAAGCGUGCGCAGGCGGUUUUGUAAGUCUGAUGUGAAAUCCCCGGGCUCAACCUGGGAAUUGCAUUGGAGACUGCAAGGCUAGAAUCUGGCAGAGGGGGGUAGAAUUCCACGUGUAGCAGUGAAAUGCGUAGAUAUGUGGAGGAACACCGAUGGCGAAGGCAGCCCCCUGGGUCAAGAUUGACGCUCAUGCACG
rnacentral:rRNA from 1 species